rnacentral:lncRNA from 1 species
GGGGGGAGAGUCAGUGGACCGCGGUGGGGUGGUGAGUGGGGACGACGGGAGGCGCAGAGCGACAUGGCUAGAGCGCGACGCGUUCGUCAGCUUCGCGGGGGAGGGCCUGGCACUGGCAGCAUUCAUUGAUCCUGCCGCUGCCGCCACCGCUGCUAGUGCUGCUGCUUACCAUAACUCGCUACUCUGCACCGCCAUCCACCUUCCACCACCGCGCUGCGACAGCAUUAACGUGCCGGAGGUAUAGCUAGCCUUGCGUUGCUUGGAGAGAGAGAGAGAGCGAUGGGGAUCGACCUCAACACCGUGGAGGAGGACGGGGAGACGGCGG